AGAGUUUGAUCCUGGCUCAGGACGAACGCUGGCGGCGUGCCUAAUACAUGCAAGUCGAGCGGGGAUUAUGCUUGAUCGCUUCGGUGAGGCGGCAUAUAUCCUAGCGGCGGACGGGUGAGUAACGCGUGGGUAAUCUACCUCGUAGUUCGGGAUAACAGGCCGAAAGGCUUGCUAAUACCGGAUGAGUUCAUGCUUAUGCAUAUAGGCAUGAAGAAAGGGCUAGCCCGCUAUGAGAUGAGCCCGCGUCCCAUUAGCUUGUUGGUGGGGUAAUGGCCUACCAAGGCAACGAUGGGUAGCCGGCCUGAGAGGGUGUACGGCCACACUGGGACUGAGACACGGCCCAGACUCCUACGGGGGGCAGCAGUAGGGAAUUUUCGGCAAUGGGCGAAAGCCUGACCGAGCGACGCCGCGUGAGGGACGAAGGCCUUCGGGUUGUAAACCUCUGUCUGGGGGGAUGAGAACGGACGGUACCCCCGGAGGAAGCCCCGGCUAACUACGUGCCAGCAGCCGCGGUAAU
rnacentral:rRNA from 1 species